rnacentral:rRNA from 1 species
UACGUAGGGUCCGAGCGUUGUCCGGAUUCAUUGGGCGUAAAGAGUUCGUAGGCGGCUGUUCAAGUCGUACGUGAAAACUCGGAGCUCAACUCCGAGCCUGCGUUCGAUACUGGACGGCUAGAGUCUGGUAGGGGGAUCUGGAAUUCCUGGUGUAGCGGUGGAAUGCGCAGAUAUCAGGAGGAACACCGAUGGCGAAGGCAGCUCGCUGGGACGGUACUGACGCUGAGACGCGAAAGCGUGGGGAGCGAACAGG